GGUAAUUUUCGGAACACACCGAUAUUAUUAAAAAUGCGAACCGUUUGUGAAAACAAAUGUGAAAGUGCAAGUAAUUAGCAUAAUUGGCUAUUAUGUUGUCAUUUUACGAGAGGACAUUUCGUUUGAAUAAUUUCUGUUCGUAGUUUAUGCCCAACUUAAUAUUAUGUAACGAUUAUAUUAUCGAUUGGUUGUUUUAACCCUUGAAAAAUUGUGAUGCUUGUUUUACGCGGACUCCAGAACUCGAAUUCUCUCGUCGUGUUGGGAGGCUUCGCUUUAUGUCUUUUAUUUAUGAUUCAAAUGAAGCAAAUCUACACUAAUAAUCAAAAAUAUAACAGAUACUUGAGCUACAAACAAUAUAUGAAUGAAAUAGCGACAGAAUUGAAGACAGUGGUUAAAUCUAUAAACAAAUCAUCGACUUAUGUUCGUCAAUUAAAUGAGAUGCUUUCCAAGUAUCGAGACAGAGAGUCAAAGAAUAUCUCAAUGUCAAGAAUUUCAUCUUAAAUAUUUUAAGAUUACCUGGAAGGUCGGUGAUACAUAAAAGUCCUGAUCGAUAAGAAAUGGCAUUCUGUAGUUGAUGUUAUGUAUAAGUUUAUAGCGUUUGGUCCUAAUUGUACGCAUGGGAUAGUACAUGGUAACUUCAUGAAGACACUAUGUGUGUAUUGCAUUCAAUAUAUGCAUACAUAAAUCCAUACCUUCAAGAAGUAGUGGCAGAAGCGACUUGCCGGUAAGGUGUGGAGAAGACACUUUAUUGGAGUGUAACGAGUAAUCCAUUUUGAAAACAUGGGCUAUAUCUGGAAUACUAUCACUUACUGUGUUUUAUUCUGAACUGAAAGAAAUUCACGGACUAACAGCUUUAUAUAAGUAAUAUUACGACCUACUUGAAGAAUAGAAUGAUUCUCUUCUGUAUAUGCAAAAUCAAAUGGGUAAACGUCACUCGGACCUACAUGCUUUUUGCCAAUGAUUCCUGCACAAAGAAAAUAAGCAACAUGACAAUAAUAUAUUUAAUAUACACUUAUUAUUCAUGAUUAUUGUUUUACCUGUUCGUAUAUUGCUUCUCUUUAAUAUUUUUGGUAAACUUUGAACAUCAUCAAAAGAAUUAAAGUGAUGAAUUCCAUGAUGAAGACCAUACAUUCCAUUCUGAUGACUUGGUAAUCCAGUUAAUAUUGCAGAGCGACUAUAAAUUGAAAAUUCAAGAGAUUCUAUAUGCUCAUAAUAAUAAUUUUUAUAUAAUAAUUAGAUUAAAUUUUUAACUGUAAAAUAUACCUUGGGGAACAGCUACUAACUGAUGUGUAUGCAUUAUUGAAUAAUAGACUCUCUUUUGCUAACUUAUCCAAAUUAGGACUUUGACAGAUUUUAUUUAAGUAGGAUCGCAUUUCAAAUCCUGCGUCAUCAGCUGUGAAUUAUAUAUAUAUAUAAAUUAUUUUAAAAAUAAGUGUGUGUGUGUGUCUGAUCUUAAUUAUAGACAAAUUAUAAAUUAACUAAAUCUACUUUUGUAGCUCUAACUUCAAAAUUAAUUGUAUAAAUGUCUAUAUAAUUUCUCAUGCUAUUAGAGAAAACUAAAAAGCUUUAUAAUUCCUA